GGCUGGAAGGCGAGGGGGCGGGGCCGGAGGGGCGGGGCGGAGGCUGCGGGGCGGAGCCAGAGGCGGCCGGGGCGGCGGGAGCGGCGGGCACUCGUCCCCGCCUGGCGCCGCCAGCAGGACCGGCCGGCCUUCUGCGCUCCGGUCCGGUCCCUUCCCGUCCCGUCCCGUCCCGUCCCGUCCCGUCCCGUCCCGUCCCGGCCAUGCCGCCGGUCCCGGGCUCCGGGGGUCCGCCGCCCCGACCCCCCGCCCGGCCCCCGGCCCGCCCGCGCCCGCGGCUGCGGCUCCGGCCCCGCGGGGCGAGGAAGCGCCUGCUGCUGGCCCAGCUCUGCCUGCUGGGAGCCCUGCUCGCCCCGCUCGGGCCCCUCGGACGCUCCUCCGGACGCGCCCCCCCCCCACGGCUUUGACAUCCUGAGCUCCCCGGACACCUUCGAUAAAUGGGAUGGGAGGAGGUUGCUGGAGGCGGUCGAUCGGAACACUACUGAGAUUCCAGUCGACGCGGGCCACCUGCCCCGGAAGAACUGCACCGAACCAGAAGUUAAAUGGACUCGCCGACCUACCCUGAGGCCUCCCCUGACCCAAGGAUCAAGGAACCCUGCCCUCCUUAUUCUAGUCCAUCAAUCCAUAGCAUUUAUUGCAUUAGCCUCUAGUUCUAGGCUGUAAGCUCCUUCUAGUUGAUGAUGAUGAUGGUAUUUGUUAAGCACUUACUAUGUGCCAAGCACUGUUCUAAGCGCUGGGGGAGAUACGAGGUAAUCAGGUUGUCCCACAUGGGGCUCGCAGUCGUAAUCCCCAUUUCACAGAUGAGGUCUCUGAGGCACAGAGAAGUUAAGUGACUUGCCCAAGUUCAUUCAUUCAUUCAAUAAUAUUUAUUGAGCGCUUACUAUGUGCAGAGCAAUGUACUAAGCGCUUAGACUGUAC
rnacentral:lncRNA from 1 species